rnacentral:rRNA from 1 species
UACGUUCCCGGGUCUUGUACACACCGCCCGUCACACCAUGGGAGCGGGUUUUACCAGAAGUAGGUAGCUUAACCGUAAGGAGGGCGCUUACCACGGUAGGAUUCGUGACUGGGGGUG